rnacentral:rRNA from 1 species
UACGUAGGGUGCGAGCGUUGUCCGGAAUUACUGGGCGUAAAGAGCUCGUAGGUGGUUUGUCGCGUUGUUCGUGAAAACUCACAGCUCAACUGUGGGCGUGCGGGCGAUACGGGCAGACUGGAGUACUGCAGGGGAGACUGGAAUUCCUGGUGUAGCGGUGGAAUGCGCAGAUAUCAGGAGGAACACCGGUGGCGAAGGCGGGUCUCUGGGCAGUUCCUGACACUGAGACACGAAGGCCAGGGGAGCAAACGGG